rnacentral:rRNA from 1 species
GACAAGAAAUAACAACAAUACAAGGCAGUUAAAAUGCUUUGUAUUGGAAUGAUAGAAAUUUAAACCCUUUUUAAAGUAUCAAUUGGAGGGCAAGUCUGGUGCCAGCAGCCGCGGUAAUUCCAGCUCCAAUAGCGUAUAUUAAAAUUGUUGCAGUUAAAAAGCUCGUAGUUGAAGUUCUGCUAAAAGUAACCGGUCUGCUUUGAAUAAAAGUGGUAUCUUGGUAUGUAUUUAGCAAUGAUGUCCUUUGAAGUGUUUUUUACUUUAUUGUAAUAAAGCAUAUUCAGGACUUUUACUUUGAGAAAAUUAGAGUGUUUCUAGCAGGCCAACGCUUUGAAUACUGCAGCAUGGAAUAAUAAGAUAGGAUUUUAGUUCUACAUUAUUGGUUUUAAGAGCUAAAUUAAUGAUUGAUAGGGACAGUUGGGGGCAUUUGUAUUUAACUGUCAGAGGUGAAAUUCUUAGAUUUGUUAAAGACAAACUACUGCGAAAGCAUUUGCCAAAGAUGUUUUCAUUAAUCAAGAACGAAAGUUAGGGGAUCGAA